rnacentral:lncRNA from 1 species
AAAAUAAGAAUCCCCAAGCAAGAAACUGGGGCAGAAGUUAUGUUUGUAAUGUUGGGAAAGAAGUUCGAUUCCAAGAGUUGUAAUGGUUUUUACCCAUCAGAAUUAUUUUGAACCCUUUUUGAUGCCCUCUUUUUCUUUUAGCCAUAAACAAAAAAAAACCAUGUUGAUGUCCAAAAAAGACCUCCCGAUCAGAAUCCGAGGAAAGCCAAGUUAAGCAAAUAAAAGCAGAGAAAGUCGGAAACGAAUUGAUAACCUAAAGAAUCCCCAGCAAAGAGUCAUAUCGGCACCAUAAGGCGACGAGAAUUGAGAGAAAUGAGAGAGUCUCAUCAGUGAAAACCUCUCGAAGGGCACUAUGAGGCGACAAGGAUAUAAAGGGGGCUAGCAAGAUAAUAUUGGCAAAAAAUGGGCCGCAUCCGGCGAAAGUUGGGCUUCUGCACAUCCCCAGCAAAGAGUCAUGUCGGUAACACUCCAAUCUCCAGCUU